rnacentral:rRNA from 1 species
AGAGUUUGAUCAUGGCUCAGAUUGAACGCUGGCGGCAGGCUUAACACAUGCAAGUCGAGCGGAAACGAGUUAUCUGAACCUUCGGGGAGCGAUAACGGCGUCGAGCGGCGGACGGGUGAGUAAUGCCUAGGAAAUUGCCCUGAUGUGGGGGAUAACCAUUGGAAACGAUGGCUAAUACCGCAUGAUGCCUACGGGCCAAAGAGGGGGACCUUCGGGCCUCUCGCGUCAGGAUAUGCCUAGGUGGGAUUAGCUAGUUGGUGAGGUAAGGGCUCACCAAGGCGACGAUCCCUAGCUGGUCUGAGAGGAUGAUCAGCCACACUGGAACUGAGACACGGUCCAGACUCCUACGGGAGGCAGCAGUGGGGAAUAUUGCACAAUGGGCGCAAGCCUGAUGCAGCCAUGCCGCGUGUGUGAAGAAGGCCUUCGGGUUGUAAAGCACUUUCAGUCGUGAGGAAGGUAGUGUAGUUAAUAGCUGCAUUAUUUGACGUUAGCGACAGAAGAAGCACCGGCUAACUCCGUGCCAGCAGCCGCGGUAAUACGGAGGGUGCGAGCGUUAAUCGGAAUUACUGGGCGUAAAGCGCAUGCAGGUGGUUUGUUAAGUCAGAUGUGAAAGCCCGGGGCUCAACCUCGGAAUAGCAUUUGAAACUGGCAGACUAGAGUACUGUAGAGGGGGGUAGAAUUUCAGGUGUAGCGGUGAAAUGCGUAGAGAUCUGAAGGAAUACCGGUGGCGAAGGCGGCCCCCUGGACAGAUACUGACACUCAGAUGCGAAAGCGUGGGGAGCAAACAGGAUUAGAUACCCUGGUAGUCCACGCCGUAAACGAUGUCUACUUGGAGGUUGUGGCCUUGAGCCGUGGCUUUCGGAGCUAACGCGUUAAGUAGACCGCCUGGGGAGUACGGUCGCAAGAUUAAAACUCAAAUGAAUUGACGGGGGCCCGCACAAGCGGUGGAGCAUGUGGUUUAAUUCGAUGCAACGCGAAGAACCUUACCUACUCUUGACAUCCAGAGAACUUUCCAGAGAUGGAUUGGUGCCUUCGGGAACUCUGAGACAGGUGCUGCAUGGCUGUCGUCAGCUCGUGUUGUGAAAUGUUGGGUUAAGUCCCGCAACGAGCGCAACCCUUAUCCUUGUUUGCCAGCGAGUAAUGUCGGGAACUCCAGGGAGACUGCCGGUGAUAAACCGGAGGAAGGUGGGGACGACGUCAAGUCAUCAUGGCCCUUACGAGUAGGGCUACACACGUGCUACAAUGGCGCAUACAGAGGGCGGCCAACUUGCGAAAGUGAGCGAAUCCCAAAAAGUGCGUCGUAGUCCGGAUUGGAGUCUGCAACUCGACUCCAUGAAGUCGGAAUCGCUAGUAAUCGUGGAUCAGAAUGCCACGGUGAAUACGUUCCCGGGCCUUGUACACACCGCCCGUCACACCAUGGGAGUGGGCUGCAAAAGAAGUAGGUAGUUUAACCUUCGGGGGGACGCUUACCACUUUGUGGUUCAUGACUGGGGUGAAGUCGUAACAAGGUAGCGCUAGGGGAACCUGGCGCUGGAUCACCU